rnacentral:rRNA from 3 species
GGAUGAGCCCGCGGCCUAUCAGCUUGUUGGUGGGGUAAUGGCCUACCAAGGCGACGACGGGUAGCCGGCCUGAGAGGGCGACCGGCCACACUGGGACUGAGACACGGCCCAGACUCCUACGGGAGGCAGCAGUGGGGAAUAUUGCACAAUGGGCGGAAGCCUGAUGCAGCGACGCCGCGUGAGGGAUGACGGCCUUCGGGUUGUAAACCUCUUUCAGCAGGGACGAAGCGCAAGUGACGGUACCUGCAGAAGAAGCACCGGCUAACUACGUGCCAGCAGCCGCGGCCG